UGGGGAAUCUUCCGCAAUGGACGAAAGUCUGACGGAGCAACGCCGCGUGAGUGAAAACGGCCUUCGGGUUGUAAAGCUCUGUGAUCCGGGACGAAAGAGCCUGAGGUAAAUAGCCUAAGGAAGUGACGGUACCGGAAAAGCAAGCCACGGCUAACUACGUGCCAGCAGCCGCGGUAAUACGUAGGUGGCAAGCGUUGUCCGGAAUUAUUGGGCGUAAAGCGCGCGCAGGCGGCUUACUAAGUCCAUCUUAAAAGUGCGGGGCUUAACCCCGUGAUGGGAUGGAAACUGGAAAGCUGGAGUAUCGGAGAGGAAAGUGGAAUUCCUAGUGUAGCGGUGAAAUGCGUAGAGAUUAGGAAGAACACCGGUGGCGAAGGCGACUUUCUGGACGAAAACUGACGCUGAGGCGCGAAAGCGUGGGGAGCAAACAGG
rnacentral:rRNA from 1 species